AGCACAGGGAGCUGAAAAGUGAGGGGCCAGUGAUCACAGCCAAGGCUGAUAAGGCCACCCUAGGAAAGAACAAUGGUCCCAGGCCCAUGACUCAGUUUCCCUGCUCCCUCCUGAAUUGGCCAAGAGCCCCUUAUCUCAGAGGAAUGGGCAGGAGUGCAGAAACCUGAAUUGUAUAAAAC